GUCAGGAUCUAACCAGCUGAGUCUCAAGUGGAAAUAGACUGGCAGGUCCCAAUAAAGAUCUACUGGAAGAAAUUUAUUUACACUCGUGUAGAAAACACUGCACUGAGUAGUGUGUUAACAGCCUCUCAAAGCAGGAGGAGAUGGAAACUGAACCUGAACUCAGAGCCAGAGGAGUACAGAGAAGGGAUGGACAAGGGCACAGAGGCUGUGAUGGGCUGGGAUAAUUUUUAGAAUUAAUACUGAGAACUGGAGAAUUUCCCAGCUCCAGAGGUUUGCUGAGAGCACUGAGCCCAGCUGACAGGGCAGGACUGCACUGCCAUGGCUUUGCCAGGCUGUUUUCCAGGCUCUUGAGCUGCACAAUUUCUUUCACGUGGCCUUUUCAGGUCAGAAUACCCCAUUACCAACUAAUUAAACAAGCCAAACUUGAA